CCCCCUAAACUUAGUAGAAAGUGUAAAACUAAGGUGAGAUUUGCUUUGCAUAAGAAACUGUCAACACCAGCUGUUCUUCUUAACGACUUCCACAGAGAUUGGCCUUUGCCACCUGGAUGAGAGCAGAAAACCACCUGGGUUCCUGGGGCUGGGCAGGUUUGUGGUGUGGGGGUGUUGGUUGCUGCUGUGGGGUGAGGAGCAUGUGUGGAUGGUCAACUGUGCUGCUCACCAGUUACCCCCCAAGAGUGUGUUUAGGACAUUGCUGUGAUCUCCUCAGUCCUGGUCCCUUCCCCACAGUGCUGAACAACUGGAAGUAAGAAUAAAGGAAUGAAUGAUGGUGAUAGAGAACUACUAGAAGAGGCAAAGGAAAACAAUAAUUUACUCCUCACAGAGGAUGCAUCUAGAUUCCUGUAUAUCCUUCUCAGUGAAGAUCUCCAGGUGUUGAAACUCUGAUUGCAUCCGUCUGACAACAGAAUAUGGAAAAAUAAGCAUGCCCCCUGCUUCCCAUUCAACAGGAUUCUUGUUAUCACUACCUCUCUCUUUCUUGAAGCUUUGGAAAAAAAUCAGGUAGUAAAAAGAGAUUCUGUAAGUGGAGUUGAGACCUGGAAGAGAGCAGGUGAUAAAAAGAAAUUCUGUAACUGGAGUUCAGACCCUUGCGUAGUAUUUUGUCUUGCAAGAAACACGUGUAUGAUAAGGUAGUUUUAGGCAGUUUCAGUGGAAGUAUUCAGGAUGUUCCCUUCACAGGAAGAACAGUGUUAAACAACACUUGCCAAAAAAAGUAUGUGAUUUUUCUCCAUCACAAAAAAGCUGGUUUCAGUGAAACUUGUCAGGGACCCCAAUCAGUAUCAAAGUGGAAACUUACUUACAAAAUUCAAGCAAAGAUCAAACUGAUUUCUUUCUAUGCUCUUAAAAAAACGUGCUUGAAACUUUGCACAUCAUUCUUUAUGUGAUAUGUUAGGACUUUAGCCCAUGUAUCAAUCGAUCCUUAAAUAUUAAGCUGAGAAAGAAAACCAGAUUUGUUUGUUUGUUUAAAAGCCACUGCCAGGUGCUUCUGCAAUCCCAGCCUCUCAUCUGAUGUCGUACUGUUAGUGUUCCAGACAAUGGCACCUACUGCAUCUUUUGCUGGAAAACUGCCUAGUAUGUCUGAUACUACAAAAAAAUUGCUCUCCUAUCUUCUAUGGUGUCAUAUUUUUGCAUUUAUUUUUCCUUACAUCUUUGAUGGAGUCUUUUUUGUUACUUGAAGACAAAUGUUCCAAACUGGCAAUUCUAUAAUAGUUGACUGGGUACUGCAAUUUCAAAAUGAGUGGUGUAGUCCUUUACCUGGUCAAUAUUGUUGUUUCCCAAGUAUGCAAGGAAAAGUAGAUGGAAAAUUGCCACUGCUGUGAAUUAUUAUAAUAUGCUCAACUGAAUAUACUGCAGUGCUGGCAAAGAAACUGGGUUUACGUAGUUACUUUUCCUGCUGAGGAACAAGAUUUCCUAGCAUGGUAUCUCUCAUGAGACAUAAAAUGGAAAAGAACAUGUGGUCAGAUGAGCAUUAUAUAAAUGUUAAUUAAUCUGGUUGCUCAUCUUGGACAUGACAAAUGGGCACAUAAGAGCUGGUGAGGAAGUCAUAUUCUUCAGUCAACAAAUCUAAGCUGUGUUUCUGCUGCUCGAGUGGGUCAGCAGGAGCUGCAGCAGGUUCUCCAUGCAGAGCGCACAGGUUCCCAGAGCAACUGCUCUUGAGGCAUCCAUGUAUUACAGAACAGUUGCGGUUACCAGCUGGGGGCAACAGAGAACAGAGAGGAAACUGACAGCAGGACCAGAGGCUUUUCAUAGGAGGUAUUUUGGAUGUUUUUGUUUUGUUUUUUUCAAGAGACAUUUAGUGGGCAGAUGUGCAGCAUUUUGCUUCUCGUGAGCAAGAUGCUCAUUCUGGCUUCCUUUUCUUUUCCCUGAAUACUUGUAGCUUUUAGAACUGGGCUAGACCACAGAUCAAAACCAGAAAUUGAUUACAUUUGUGGGUUUUUUACAUUGGGAUUUGUUAAAUGUGUACACUGGUUUUUCUGUUAUGUUAGUAUUGUAAUCUGUCUCCUGUCCAAUCCUUAGUUCUGGAAAAAUUUUCUUCCUUGACAAGAUGAGGAAGGGAAUGAACACAGGUUGAAGUAUUCAGACUUCUCCCUUUCAUUUAUUCAAAGCUGCAAGAAGCUACUAACACACGAUUUAUAAAUGCUUGAUGAUCUCCAGCAUCCCCAGUGCCAAAACACACACUAGUUGAAAGCACACUCUGAAAGUUUGCAAAUAUAUUAUAGGCGUGUGACCUUUACUUUCCAAAAUGUAUCUUCCAUUUUCACUCUAAAUAUUUUUGUUCAGUGGAAAAAGAAUGGCCAAAGGAAAAAAAGCAUGUGUUAUCCAGACAGCAAACUCAGAUACAGCCAAAAAUGUUCCUCUGGCUUUUGAUGUUGAAGGAAAAUACAGCUACAUGAUCUGUUAGCAGUUGGAGAGGGUACAAAAGGGAAGCUGUUCAGCAAAACUAAGUGAACUAAUGGAAAAUGCAUAAUCCUUUAAUACUCAAAAUGUGUAUUUUAAAGAAAUUAAAUAAUUUAGGGUUGGACAAUUUUCAGGUAAGUGUGUAUGACUGUGUACAUGACUACCAAACAAGAUUUCUCUGAACAGAAAAUACCUCCAGACACUUUACUAAACUUUCAGAAUUGGUGCACAAUGAGAGAAGUCACUGACAUGCUCAAUUUUAAACUAAAUCAUCUCCACUUGAUUCAGCAGCUUGUGGUAAGCAAGGAACCUUUGUCUUCCAAGGUGAAAGUGGGGUAAACAAACUUAAAAAUAUCAUUCCCGAGUGAGCCUGUUGCUGACCUGAGCAGCAGCUGCUUUACAUUAAUAGGGGUUAUUCUGAAAAUCAUUGGUACUGAGUCCUACAGUCUUUUGUCCCAGUAGUACAGCUGAAGACAACAGAAAUAUCAGAAGUGCACCAUAUUAAAUCAAUACCAUGUAAAUAACUGCAUGCUGUACUGCUUGCUCAGAAAAACCUAUUUUUUUUUUUUUUUCAGUCUGAACAUUCAUUUCCAUUGCACUGAUUAAAAUUUCUAAAUAAAAAUAUACUGUCCACUAAUUUCACUGGACAUGAGAUCACACUUCAAGUACCCUGAGAGUCACGCUGCUGUCUGUUAAUCAUACAACAAACUAGGUCAAAGUAAGCAAAAAAAUUGAUAAAAAUAUCAACAAGAUUUUCUUCCACGAUUUUUAGGAGUUCAGCAUUUGCUCAGGUCAUCAACCAGAAAACUAUCUGACAUUAAGAGGUACUGCAUACUUUUUAAACGUGUAACUAAUGCUCAGUUUUAAAAUCAAACCAAAACACAGUCUAGAAACACACAAAAACAAUACAGUUUCAAUUAAGUUUUUCUUAGAGAAAGCAUUUUAAUAAUUUUUUUCAAAAAUAUGCAUGUCACUGAGGGAGAUACCAGACUGAAAAAUAUAAUUAUAAAAACUCUACCAUAUUUCUGCUCCAGUAUUUUUAUAGCUACAAAUAACACUUCUACGGUUAGCUGAUAUACAUAAUUAAGAGAGAUUUAUUUUGUGCAUACUUCUGUUGAGCAAGAAGCUCAAGCUGCUUUCACUAUAAUUAUGUUCGCUCAUUGCUUCAAAUGGAUUAACGUGUUAACAAGAGGUAAAGGCCAUUUUAAGAGAAAGUAAGGAAAGGUGGUAGUGAAAACUAGUAUCAAGAAUGGCAUUUGCUUUUUUUGGUAUACCUACUUUGCAUUUUCAGUGUCUUUCUAGCACAGCAUUAAUCAAUAGUUUCUAUCUAGUUAACUUUUAAAAAUGUAAAAACCAGUAUGUACAAAAUGCCACCUUCAGCUGAACUUCAGUGCAAGUGAUUUUCAAUAUCUAGAAAAUCAAAAGCGCUUACUGAUCUUAAAAACAUCUUUUUAAAGAAUGACUUCCAAAUUGCCUUGAAUUAGAGUGUUAAGAUAAUUUUAUCUUACAAGAGCACAUUUAACAAGUUACCU